rnacentral:tRNA from 1 species
GCUCCCUUAGUUCAAUGGAUAGAACAAGGGCGUCCUAAGCCUUAGAUAUAGGUUCGAUUCCUAUAGGGAGCA